AUUUGGGAGGGUUAACAUUAGGAGAAAUACCUAAUGUAGGUGGCAGGGGUAUGGAUGCAGUACACCACCAUGCCAUGUGUAUACCUAUGUAACAAUCCUGCACUAUCUACACAUAUACCCCAGAACUUAAAGUA